rnacentral:rRNA from 1 species
UACGUAGGUGGCAAGCGUUAUCCGGAUUUAUUGGGUGUAAAGGGCGUGUAGGCGGGAAUGCAAGUCAGAUGUGAAAACUAUGGGCUCAACCCAUAGCCUGCAUUUGAAACUGUAUUUCUUGAGUGCUGGAGAGGCAAUCGGAAUUCCGUGUGUAGCGGUGAAAUGCAUAGAUAUCACGCAGAACCCCGAUUGCGAAGGCAGCCUUCCGGCGCCCUACUGACGCUGAGGCACGAAAGUGCGGGGAUCGAACAGG